UUCAAGCCGAAGCUUUGAUCCUGUGCUCCGAGAUGCACAACUAGCCAGUCGUGUCUGCAUCAUUUGCAUCAUAGCAUGUUUAUUUCAAAAAAAGAAAUGCAAAAAAAAGAAACAAAAAAAAUGGAAAAAGAGAAAAAGAAAAGAAAAGAAGCUAAUCUUUUCAUGCAUAUGAUUUCUCAGGUUCAUUCAGGGGUCUAUUCACUAUGAG
rnacentral:lncRNA from 1 species